rnacentral:tRNA from 1 species
AGGGUGUUAGUCCAAAAAAGACCUCUGAUUUCGGCUCAGAAAAUUACAGUUAAAAUCUGUAACCCCCUU